rnacentral:rRNA from 1 species
ACCAGACUCCUACGGGAGGCAGCAGUGGGGAAUAUUGCACAAUGGGGGAAACCCUGAUGCAGCAACGCCGCGUGAAGGAAGACGGUUUUCGGAUUGUAAACUUCUAUCAAUAGGGAAGAAAGAAAUGACGGUACCUAAAUAAGAAGCCCCGGCUAACUACGUGCCAGCAGCCGCGGUAAUACGUAGGGGGCAAGCGUUAUCCGGAAUUACUGGGUGUAAAGGGCGUGUAGGCGGGCCUGUAAGUCAGAAGUGAAAUCUGGGGGCUUAACCCCCAAACUGCUUUUGAAACUGCGGGUCUUGAGUGAUGGAGAGGCAGGCGGAAUUCCCAGUGUAGCGGUGAAAUGCGUAGAUAUUGGGAGGAACACCAGUGGCGAAGGCGGCCUGCUGGACAUUAACUGACGCUGAGGCGCGAAAGCGUGGGGAGCAAACAGGAUUAGAUACCCUCGUA